rnacentral:rRNA from 1 species
GAGGGGUGCAAGCGUUAUUCGGAAUCAUUGGGCGUAAAGGGUGUGUAGACGGCAUAUUAAGUCAACUGUUAAAUUCUCCGGCCUAACUGGAGGUCUGCGGUAGAAACUGGUGUGCUAGAGGAUGGAAGAGAGAAGUGGAAUUCUCGGAGUAGCGGUAAAAUGCGUAGAUCUCGAGAGGAACACCGAUGGCGAAGGCAGCUUCUUGGUCCAUUCCUGACGUUGAGACACGAAAGCGUGGGGAGCAAACAGGAUUAGAUACCCUGGUAGUCCACGCCGUAAACGAUGAUCACUAGACGUCAUCUCUGUUUUGCAGAGUUGGUGUCGUAGCUAACGCGUUAAGUGAUCCGCCUGGGAGUACGAUCGCAAGAUUA